rnacentral:rRNA from 1 species
AACGAACGCUGGCGGCAUGCCUAACACAUGCCAGUCGAACGAGACCUUCGGGUCUAGUGGCGCACGGGUGCGUAACGCGUGGGAACCUGCCCUUAGGUUCGGUAUAACUCACCGAGAGGGGUGCUUAUACCGGAUAAUGUCUUCGGACCAAAGAUUUAUCGCCUAUGGAUGGUCCCGCGUUGGAUUCGCUUGUUGGUAUGGUAAAAGCCUACCAAGGCUAUGAUCCAUAGCUGGUCUGAGAGGAUGAUCAGCCACACUGGGACUGAGACACGGCCGAGACUCCUACGGGAGGCAGCAGUGGUGAAUAAUGGACAAUGCGCGAAAGCCGGAUCCAGCAAGGCCGCGUGAGUGAUGAAGGCCUGAGGGUUGUAAAGCUCUUUGACCCGGGAUGAUAAUGACAGUACCGGGAGAAUAAGCGCCGGCUAACUCCGUG